GGGGUUAUGGCUCAGUGGUAGAGAACUUGCCUCGCAUGCAUGAGGCACUGGGUUCAAUCUUCAGUACCACA
rnacentral:tRNA from 1 species